GUCCACGCCCUAAACGAUGUCAACUAGUUGUUCGGUGAGGAGACUCAUUGAGUAACGCAGCUAACGCGUGAAGUUGACCGCCUGGGGAGUACGGCCGCAAGGUUAAACUCAAAGGAAUUGACGGGGACCCGCACAAGCGGUGGAUGAUGUGGAUUAAUUCGAUGCAACGCGAAAACCUUACCUACCCUUGACAUGUCAGGAAUCCUUGAGAGAUUGAGGCGUGCCCGAAAGGGAACCUGAACACAGGUGCUGCAUGGCUGUCGU
rnacentral:rRNA from 1 species